UACGGGGGGAGCAAGCGUUGUUCGGAUUUACUGGGCGUAAAGGGCGCGUAGGCGGCGUGACAAGUCACUUGUGAAAUCUCCGGGCUUAACCCGGAGCGGCCAAGUGAUACUGUCGUGCUAGAGUGCGGAAGGGGCCACUGGAAUUCUCGGUGUAGCGGUGAAAUGCGUAGAUAUCGAGAGGAACACCUGCGGCGAAGGCGGGUAGCUGGGCCGACACUGACGCUGAGGCGCGAAAGCCAGGGGAGCGAACGGG
rnacentral:rRNA from 1 species